GUAAGCCGCUUUGAGUCUGACAUCUGUUACUGAAUUGAUUGCCAGUGUGGAUCUCACUGAUCUGGCUGGUUAGGCAAGUGCCUUUCUCUCCAUUUCAUGCAUGUCCUUCCUGAAGCUGUACAUCUGGUGGAAGAAGACAACCAACCCAGACAGAAGGAGUGUACCAUUCUUUGGUCAAAGCUAUACAAUAGUUGUGUUCCCCUUCUAGAACAUCCAAACUUUAUCCAAACUUCAAUCCCCUUUAUGGAUUGAAAUGUCCUCCAGUAUUCCAAGCAUCUCUGUCCUAAACCCUGCAGAGCAACUUUUGACAAUGUAGCUGUUACUAAAC
rnacentral:snRNA from 1 species